rnacentral:tRNA from 1 species
GCCGAUAUAGUUCAUUUGGAAGAACAACUGACUUGUAAUCAGUAGGUAGUCGGUUCGAGUCCGACUUUCGGCA